CAAAUUUUCCAUUGAUCAAUCAAUUAUAAAUUAUAUAUAAAGGAGGAUCUCCAGAUCCGAAUUUCAAAAUGUUAGAAAAAAAAUAACAUAUUUAAUUCGUAGAAGUGACUUUUCACGGCUUUAAGACAGUCUCACCAUCUUAGAUGACGCUUCUCCUCCAUAUGAAAUAAUAUACUAUUUCGAAACUUCUAAUAUCCCUAGAUAAGAGGAGGAGCGAAAGAUUAUCCGAUCAAGCAUGCACCUUGACAUAAAGAUCUAUUGUGCAUCUAAUAUACCUAGCUAGAAUUAAUUUACAAUUCCAUAUGAAAAAUUGCAUCCAGUGAAACAUUAUGAAGGUGGCUAAGGAAAAUGUUAAACCAAAUGAAGUAAAAUCACUAUAUGAAAAAAUAUCUUUCUUUGAAGGUGCCAAAAAUAUAGAUGGACAUUUUCUGGUAAUAUCGAAACUUCGCUUGUUUGAAUCCAUUAACUUUAUAUACAAUAAACUGUACAAGUAAAGUUUA